rfam:Zea mays cultivar B73 chromosome 8, whole genome shotgun sequence.
CGAUCGAUCGAAGAGCUCCCUUCGAUCCAAUCCAGGAGGGAAAGUGGUCGGCUGCAGCUGCCGGUUCAUGGAUACCUCUCUGGUGCAGCAAUGGCCGAGAUGCUCACCUGCACUUGCAUGGGUGUGCAUGACCCGGGAGACGAACCGACCAUCAUCUUUCCCUCGUGCUUGGAUUGAAGGGAGCUCCUCUCUCUCUCUCU